UGUCGAUGAAGAGCGCAGCCAACUGUGUGAAUUAAUGUGAACUGCAUACUGCUUUGAACAUCGACAACUUGAACGCACAUUGCGGCCACAGGUUAUCCUGUGGCCACGCCCGUCCGAGGGUCG
rnacentral:rRNA from 1 species